ACUCCUACGGGAGGCAGCAGUGGGGAAGUAUUGCACAAUGGGGAAAGGACCCUGAUGCAGCCAUGCCGCGUGUGUGAAGAAGGCCAUUACCGGGUUGUAAAGCAACUUUCAGUCGUGAGGAAGGUAGUGUAGUUAACACCUGCAUUAUUUGACGUUACCUACAGAAGAAGCACCGGCUAACUCCGUGCCAGCAGCCGCGGUAAUACGGAGGGUGCGAGCGUUAAUCGGAAUUACUGGGCGUAAAGCGCAUGCAGGCGGCCUGUUAAGUCAGAUGUGAAAGCCCGGGGCUUAACCUCGGAAUUGCAUUUGAAACUGGCAGGCUAGAGUCUUGUAGA
rnacentral:rRNA from 1 species